UGUUGCUGGCCCUUUCGGGGGCAUGUGCACACCCACCAUCCUCAUCUCUCCACCUGUGCACCUCUUGUAGACCUGAAUUGACUUUCCGAGGCAACUCGGUCGGGAAGAUUGCUGUGCUCUGUGAGCCAGCUUUCUUUGCAUGUCUAGGCCUAUGUUUUUCAUAUACCCCUAUAGAAUGUAACAGAAUGUAUCAUUGGGCCUUGUGCCUAUAAACCUUAUACAACUUUCAGCAACGGAUCUCUUGGCUCUCGCAUCGAUGAAGAACGCAGCGAAAUGCGAUAAGUAAUGUGAAUUGCAGAAUUCAGUGAAUCAUCGAAUCUUUGAACGCACCUUGCGCUCCUUGGUAUUCCGAGGAGCAUGCCUGUUUGAGUGUCAUUAAAUUCUCAACCUUAUUAACUUUUGUUGAUAAUGGAUUGGAUUGUGGGGGUUUCUUUUGCUGGAUUCUUCACAGAGAUCAGCUCCCCUUAAAUGCAUUAGCUGGUGCCCCGCGUGGACCAUCUAUUGGUGUGAUAAUUAUCUACGCCGUGGAUGUCUGCAAUCAUAUGGGUUUUGCACUGCUUCUAACCGUCUGUUCAUUCGGACAAUACAUGACAAUUUGACCUCAAAUCAGGUAGGACUACCCGCUGAACUUAAGCAUAUCAUUAAGCGGAGGAAAAGAAACUAACAAGGAUUCCCCUAGUAACUGCGAGUGAAGCGGGAAAAGCUCAAAUUUAAAAUCUGGCGGUCUCCGGCCGUCC
rnacentral:rRNA from 1 species